UAGUCCAUGCUGUAAACGAUGAAAACUAGCUGUUGGGCCCUUCGGGGUUUAGUGGCGCAGCUAACGCGAUAAGUUUUCCGCCUGGGGAGUACGGCCGCAAGGUUAAAACUCAAAUGAAUUGACGGGAGCCCGCACAAGCGGUGGAGCAUGUGGUUUAAUUCGAUGCAACGCGAAAAACCUUACCUACACUUGACAUCCUCGGAACUUUCUAGAGAUAAAUUGGUGCCUUCGGGAACCGAGUGACAGGUGCUGCAUGGCUGUCGUCAGCUCGUGUCGUGAGAUGUUGGGUUAAGUCCCGUAACGAGCGCAACCCUUAUCUUUAGUUACCAGCACUUCGGUGGGGACUCUAAAGNGACUGCCGGUGAUAAGCCGGAGGAAGGUGGGGACGACGUCAAGUCAUCAUGGCCCUUACGGGCCUGGGGCUACACACGUGCUACAAUGGAACGCACAGAGGGGCAGCAAAGGCGCGAGCUGGAGCCAAUCCCA
rnacentral:rRNA from 1 species